AACGCACGAGACCUGCGGACCUGCGGAGGGAUCAUUAGUGAACGCCCUCGCGGGCUUAUAACUAUUCCAAACCUCUGUGAACCGUGCCCUUCGGGGCUAUUUUACAAACAUGGUGUAAUGAACGUCAUAUAUCAUAACAAAACAAAACUUUCAACAAUGGAUCUCU
rnacentral:misc_RNA from 1 species